rnacentral:rRNA from 1 species
GAUGAACGCUGGCGGCAGGCUUAACACAUGCAAGACGAGCGCCCCGCAAGGGGAGCGGCAGACGGGUGAGUAACGCGUGGGAACGUGCCCUUUGCUACGGAAUAGCUCCGGGAAACUGGAAUUAAUACCGUAUGAGCCCUACGGGGGAAAGAUGUAUCGGCAAAGGAUCGGCCCGCGUUGGAUUAGCGCGUUGGUGGGGUAAAGGCCUACCAAGGCGACGAUCCAUAGCUGGUCUGAGAGGAUGAUCAGCCACAUUGGGACUGGGACACGGCCCACACUCCUACGGGAGGCAGCAGUGGGGAAUAUUGGACAAUGGGCGCAAGCGUGAUCCAGCCAUGCCGCGUGAGUGAUGAAGGCCUUAGGGUUGUAAAGCUCUUUCACCGGAGAAGAUAAUGACGGUAUCCUGAGAAGAAGCCCCGGCUAACUUCGUGCCAGCAGCCGCGGUAAGAC